rnacentral:lncRNA from 1 species
UAGCCGACUAACGCUAAUAUGCACUGUUAGCAAUUGAUGUAAUUUUUACAAUAAAUUUUACAACAACGCAUUGUAUUCAUGUUUUUGUUGUAAAUGCAAAUGCAUGAUGGGAAAUUUAAGGACAGUCCUGUAAUAUUAUUGUAACUACACUGUAGAAGCAUUAUUUUACAGCCACCGCAUAGCAUUGUGGAAUCGCUGCUGUUUGAAUUUUGAAAUUACGCGGCCAGCGGUACCAGAAGUAUUUUAACAUUUUUGGAAGAAGGAACAUGUCUCAGGUAUGUAACAUAAAAUCUGUUUUAUAAUUCUUUAUAUAUAUUAAUACUGGUGAUCUGAGUGAGUGCUGAUUGUUUCGUUUGGUUUAUUUCAGAUUUCUCUUGAACUGACCGCGAAGUUAGUUAAAAUCGCGUCUUCAUACUCUAUCCAUUUUAAAACUAAUGCUGCGUUUCCACCGCUGGAACUUCACCCAGAAACUAGGAACUUUGGGCUGGUAUUCUUAUCCUAAUGAGGCCUCAAGCACUAAAGGCUCUAUGAUAUACUCUAUCCAACAGCAGAAGACACCAGGAGUGGGGAAGGUUCUGGAAGCCUACAAUGAAGAGAGUGGCAACAAAGCUAUCUGCACAAUCAUGUGCCUGCUUGCUCACUUCAAGGAGGGGAAUGGUAUCUUCCUUACGGCUGAUAGCCUUUUGUGGCAUAAACCCCAGAUGGGCAGCAAGGCAGAGAAGAAACUAGGGCUGAACGCACCAGUUUGCACCCUUCUUAGGAAACUGCUGGAUUUGAAUUGGUGGACAGGGGACAUUAGAGGAUCACUCCAUAGUGUAGUAUGUUUGACAACUCGUUCAACCAGUUUGGUACAGUUACAGAUUGUUUGUGCAUUGUGCACCGUUUUCUCAACAGUUUUAAGAGAAAAUAAAAAUAUAUUUAAAAAAAAAUACUAAGUGUUUUGUUUUUCUUUGCAGAAGUCUGAAAGAGGACAUUUAUCCAAGUUACAACAUUUAAUUGUAAUAUUUACAAUAUUCUGUCCUGUGAAAUUACAGGAAAUCCCUAAAAUUACAGGAAAUUCCUGGCUACUGAGUUGCCGUAAAUAUAACAUUUUGCUGUAAUAUUUAUAGUAUUCUAUC